CUUAUUUAUUUAUUUUUAAUUGGAUGACAGUGGGCGUGUGACUAAUCUCGAGACGGGAAGCGUGCAGACGCAAUCUUUUCCAGAGUCUUCGGACGGGGAGGAAAAUGGAGCCAGAAUAGUUCACAGGAAAGCUUUACUGGAGGCACUAGCGGAAGAAAUUCCUCAGGAAGCCAUUCGUUUUUCUU